CAGAACUGUGCCGCUGCAUAUGGUCAUGUUGUUUAACUUGCACUCCCAGUGGAAAACAGUGUGAUGUUCUCAUUUACUGACUUUGUCGCUCAACACUGCAUUCCAGUAAUAUAACUAUACUUACAGUCUUCAUUCUUUAUAUUUUGUAAAAACUUAAAGUGUACAUAAUUUCUAAACAUUGAGACAUUGUAAGUUAAGCAGAAAAGCAUGUCAAAAAGUCACUUUAAAUGUCAUAAGAAUUUUUUUGUCCCAUGUUUUUAUUAGGUUGUAGUUUUCUUUCAAACAAGUUAAGGAGCAAGGUUUUCUUUAUGUUAAACGCUUUUCUGCUUGAUUAAUUCAUUUUGGAGGGGUUGUUAGGGUUAGUGUAUAAACUUUAAAUGAUUGAAACUUGGCACAAAGUAGAACCUUUGCCACUGGUAUUUUGUUUCGGGGCAGCAGUAACUGGUAUCUUCCAUCCAGAUGACCAGUUUGCUGUCCUUUCAUUUCUGUCUUUUUGUUUAUGUUUUUGGACACUCAUCACUUACCAGUCCUAACAUGUGUCAUAAAACAGACUGAUGUAUGGAAACUUCCUACAUUCAACAAAAUGCAAUGUUUGUAUUAAGAUUUUAGGAAUCCUGUUAUUUGCCCUACAGAGUAAAAUCUCAGAAUUUUCUUUAUGCUGUUUCCUUAUAUGUUACAUGUUAAAGGCACAUUCAUGCUUUUACCAUGCAAAAAAAAAGAUUUUUAAACAGAUAUUUAUUUAGAUUUUGCUGUUGGUCAAUUUAAAAUAAAACCUGGCAGGCAUCUUUUGGCAUCAGGAGAUGAAAUUAAAAUCUUACUAACAGAUGCAUGUCCAGAUAUGGACUGAAAUAGUUCAUCCAUCCAAAUGAAAAAUAAUACCAUUGGCAGAUUUUUUUAUUGGCUUAGCUCACUGCACAUAAAUUGGAAUCAAAUUAUGGAAUGAUGUUAUGACUCCUAAAGUUAUUAACAGCCUGUUCUUAUAUGGAUUAAUCAUAAAUAUAGCACAGCAAGGGCUGCUGUUGCGCAAUUAGGUCACGAAUCCAGUCAAUAGUGUAGACUUUAAUCGCACCCAUUAUGACUUCGGACGGGGUCUCACUGCAAGAAAUUAUGAAGUUUCUUACCUUCCCAAUGUCACGGCUCUUGGCUCUCAGCUUGUUAACCUGGGACUCGGCAAUGUCAGCGCGCUCCUGAGCCUCCUCCAUCUCAUGCUGCACCUUCCUGUACCUGGACAGGGAACAAGAGCUGAUGUGAAUUUAAGAUUUCUAAAAGAGAAAAAGCAGGCCCACUGUGAAUCCUCAGGAGUCAUGAGCUGCAUUUAUAUAGUGUCAUAACUAAGUGCUCAGCAGAACUGUGCAUCUGCAUAUGGUCAUGUUGUUUAACUUGCACUCCCAAUGGAAAACAGCAUGAUGUUCUC